rnacentral:rRNA from 1 species
CCUACGGGUGGCAGCAGUGAGGAAUAUUGGUCAAUGGCCGGAAGGCUGAACCAGCCAAGCCGCGUGAAGGACGAAGGUGCCAAGCAUUGUAAACUUCUUUUGUCAAGGGACAAAAUCAGGCUCGAGAGCCUGACCGAGGGUACUUGAAGAAAAAGCAUCGGCUAACUCCGUGCCAGCAGCCGCGGUAAUACGGAGGAUGCGAGCGUUAUCCGGAUUUAUUGGGUUUAAAGGGUGCGUAGGCGGACUGUUAAGUCAGCGGUAAAAGCCCGGGGCUCAACCCCGGCGAGCCGUUGAAACUGGCUGUCUUGAGAUGUCGAGAGGUAUGCGGAAUGCGCAGUGUAGCGGUGAAAUGCUUAGAUAUUGCGCAGAACUCCGAUUGCGAAGGCAUCUCACGAAUCCGCGAUUGACGCUGAUGCACGAAAGCGUGGGUAUCAAACAGGAUUAGAUACCCGAGUAGUC